rnacentral:rRNA from 1 species
CCUACGGGAGGCAGCAGUGGGGAAUAUUGGACAAUGGGGGGAACCCUGAUCCAGCCAUGCCGCGUGUGUGAAGAAGGCCCUCGGGUUGUAAAGCACUUUCAGUGAGGAAGAACGCCUGGUGGUUAAUACCCAUCAGGAAAGACAUCACUCACAGAAGAAGCACCGGCUAACUCCGUGCCAGCAGCCGCGGUAAUACGGAGGGUGCGAGCGUUAAUCGGAAUUACUGGGCGUAAAGCGCGCGUAGGUGGCUUGAUAAGCCGGUUGUGAAAGCCCCGGGCUCAACCUGGGAACGGCAUCCGGAACUGUCAAGCUAGAGUGCAGGAGAGGAAGGUAGAAUUCCCGGUGUAGCGGUGAAAUGCGUAGAGAUCGGGGGGAAUACCAGUGGCGAAGGCGGCCUUCUGGACUGACACUGACACUGAGGUGCGAAAGCGUGGGUAGCAAACAGGAUUAGAUACCCGUGUAGUC